GCGAGUGCAGGAAGGAGGAGCUGGUGAGCACCGGGCUGCCCACAUCUCAGACAAGAGCAACUAUGGAUUUCUGACUUAAACUUGGCAAGUUAUAAGGUCAAUAUAAUAUUGAAAUGCAUGGGAAUAAUUCCCCUUCUGCGUGGACAGCUACCUUCAUAAGUCUGAAGGAUUAAUAAAACAACUGGCCGCCACUCCAACCCCAUCCCCUCUACUGUCCAGGUGCCUUGUGGGUAAAGGUGAUGACUGGAGGGUAGUUCCACCCAAGUGGCAGGCGGGCCGUGACAGCUCCGAGAUGCUCUUUGACCUGAGAGGAAGGGAAAACAACAUCAAUGGCCACCAGGGACGCUGGAGGUGUCGGAGGAUGAAGGCGCGCUGCCAAUAACACCAGACGUGUGUGUAUACACUGUAGCUGACACUUGUCCUGCCGUUACCGGGAGAGAUGUGUGCUGAGCUGCUGACACCAGGAUUGAUCUUCCUCCUUUUCCCCAUAAGCUCCAUAUCAAGCUCCUGGAGACUCUUGGAGGAGACAAAGAAUGGGCGGAGGGGCAGGGAUAAGGGGUUGGGGAGGAGGCCAGAGUGGAUGGAAGAGGAGAGAGAAUAUUGUCAACUCACAUCACCUCUUCAAACUAACAAUGUUUAGAGCAGCGUAGGAAUAGAGUACACAAAGUUGACAGUUUCAUUGGUGGGAGGAAGUUCACUUUUUGCUGAAUUGUUGCUCACAGUGACACCACAACACCAACAACUACAUUUCCUAAUGGUUCCUAACAAAAACUACUUUUCAUGAUCAAGACUCAAAUGGUACUAUUCACUAAAGUGAAGAAGAUGUGUUAUAAAAAACAAAUUAGUUGCAUGAUUCUAUAAAUAAUACACCUCAAAACUUGCUUGAUGGUAGAUAACUGUGACCACAAGAUGAUAAGACCCUUUUUGUUUAACCAGAAAGAGAAGUCUCCCUCGAAAUAUCACAAGAAUUGGGUUGUUGCAGGAAGACGCCAGUGGAAAUGUGCUUAAAUUGUUUUUUUAUUUUUUAUUAUUGUGAUACUGGUUGAUAUACAAUUGGGAGUCUGCACAGGGUGUUUUAUUAAAAAAACGUUGCCAGAUUCUCUAUGACAAAAAUAGACAUAGGCAGAGCAGAGCGCCGCUUCCGGCCGCUUCUGAAACGUGCUGUGCGUAUCUGGUGAAAGCACAAGCAGGAUGGCUGCGUUCAGGUCCGAGUGCUCUAUUGCAGCCAGAACACGACACAGCCUGGUGGAGGCUUCACUGGAGCAAGGCAUAAUAACAUAAUAAUAUAUUUUGACUUUGUCUUGUUUAUAUUAUGUGUGGCUUUUCUGAAAAGCCUCCACCUACAUUAAAUUGUUUUUAUCAUUUAUAUAGUGCUUACACAGCUCAUGUGCAAUGCCUAAGUGGAAAAACAAACAGAAAUAAAGCUUUUCAUUGGCAACAGAACCAAGCUGUACUCUAAAUUGGACAGCAGUAAAUAACCUCAGACUGAGACCCUAGCCUGGACUGUAAGACCUCUUCCACUUUAAAACUGCACUUCAUUUGAAAAUGUACAAUGAUAAGCAUUAUACAGAACAUAAUAUUUACAACAAAAUGUAUUCUAAAUAUUUAAUAUUGGAGGAGUAACUGAUCGUCUAGCUGCUGCUGUGAUCCUGCAGCCACAGUAAGUUAAAAUAAUGUACUUUUAAUAUACUUUCUUAAUGUACUAUUUUUUAUUAUUGAUUAUUGUCGUAUUGAUUUUUGUGUUGUCAGUGUUGUGAAAUACAAUAUAAACUUUUCUAAUGAAAUGCUACGUACAACUGUCUGAGCUAAAAGGAUAAAAUAGUUUACAUAGUUUUGAUUACCCUUUAAAGCACAGACGUUGCUGGUAGAUCUCACCAUUCGAUAAACCAAAUCUAAAACUGGCCCACAUUGGCCUUACCAAUUGGCCUUGUAACCAAG